CAGCAGCCGCGGUAAUACGAAGGGUGCAAGCGUUACUCGGAAUUACUGGGCGUAAAGCGUGCGUAGGUGGUGGUUUAAGUCCGUUGUGAAAGCCCUGGGCUCAACCUGGGAAUUGCAGUGGAUACUGGGUCACUAGAGUGUGGUAGAGGAUAGUGGAAUUUCCGGUGUAGCAGUGAAAUGCGUAGAGAUCGGAAGGAACAUCUGUGGCGAAGGCGACUAUCUGGGCCAACACUGACACUGAGGCACGAAAGCGUGGGGAGCAAACAGGAUUAGAUACCCCCGUAGUCCCUGUAUCUUAUCC
rnacentral:rRNA from 1 species